UCCCCGGUCCAUUUAUUUUUUCGCAUGCGAAAGUCUGCAUGCAGUAAACCGCUUAAGUGUGCCAUGCUGUAUAAGGUCUACUUAGUAAGCUCACUUCGCAGGGUGCUUCAAGGAAAAGUGGCGCCUUUCUUCGAAUGUGCCCUAGAAAAAAGAACUAGCACGGAUGAUGGAGCCAACAGAGAGAGUAUAAGGAAAGGUCCUGUCACACAAGCACAGGACGCGUUUUAGGAUAAGCUGCAGAAGAGAAAAAACGAGCUAUUUUUUGACGCUUUUCUAAAACAUUUAUAGUAGAUAAACGUUCAAAAGCUUCGUUGAGACGAUCAAACGAAGAAGCUCCUUGAGGAAGAGAAGUUCAGGAUUAACAAAUCUGAAAUCCCACUCUUGGAAAAGGAACUAUACCAUGGAGAAAGUCCUUUUCAUCUGUAUCUUGUUCACCGGUGCUGUGGCAACACAAAAUGUGCUUCCUACAACACAGGGUCAGACUUCAACACGGCCUCAUCUGACUGGCUGUUUUUCUCGAGAUAUGAUAACUUUCCGUUGUCAGUGGGAAACUGGAUCUUCACAAAACCGCACAGAACUCGAGGAUCUGAGCUUUUUCUACAUGUUAGAAAAGGAUCCAAAGAAAACUUACGGAAAAUGGAUUGAAUGUCCAAGUUACAACUCCCAGAGGAAUGAAUGCUACUUUGAUGCCAGUCAUACCUUUGUAUGGUAUACUUAUGUGAUCCAGCUGCGCUCUGUUGAUAAUGUUUAUGAGGAAAUGUCCUUUAGCAUAGAAAAUAUUGUGUUUCCAGACCCACCUGUAGGUCUAAACUGGACUCUUUUAAAAAUGGCCUCCAGCGGUUUACACUGUGAUGUGGUUUUAAGCUGGGAUCCACCUCCCUCCGCCGGAGUGCCUCUUUCAGAUGGAUGGAUCUCACUGGUUUACGAGACACAGUACAGAGAAAAGGAUUCAGACCAGUGGAACACACUGGAAAGUGACAAAAACACACAGGCAUACAUCUAUGGUCUGGAAAGCAACACUGAAUAUGAACUCAGAGUCCGGGCAAAAAUGAGAAGCUUCCACUUCGGAGACUUCAGUGACUCCAUCUUUAUACUUAUACCUAACAAAGAAUCAAGAAUUUCGAUUACGGCUGUGCUGGUCUUUACUGCUGUUAGUGUCACCAUUAUCUUGAUGCUGAUUGUAGUUUCGCGUCAACAAAAGAUAAUGGUGAUUUUCUUGCCACCCGUUCCUGGACCAAAAAUCGAAGGCAUUGACCCUUUGAAUUUUAAGAAAGGCCAGGCAAGUGACUUUAAAAUCUUAGGGACACACCCGGACUUGCGGCCAGAGCUGUACAGCAACGAUCCAUGGGUCGAGUUCAUAGAAGUGGACAUUGACGAACCACAUGAGAGCCAGCAGGAGCUUCUCAUCGCUGACUCAUCGGCCUCGGACUCUCCACAGAUGCCUAGUAGUUUCAAGGAUGAUGAUUCGGGAUGGGCGAGCUGCUGUGAUCCAGACCUGUCAGAUCACGAUCAAACGGAUCUAAAACAAGCUUCCAGCAGUUGCCACGAUGGUUUCCUCCCGCUGUCACGUGCACACUCUGCGGCUCCCGUGCCACAAGAACCAACCUGGUCAAACAAUCUUUACUCACAGGUUAGUGACAUCACUCAGCGUGGUGAGUUCGUGCUGAGUCCAGAAGAACAAGAAAUGGCAGCUCUGCAGGAUAAAGACAUCAAUAAGAAGAAAGAAAUCCAACGGUUAGCGAUGAUUCCUGAUGAAAGAGGCUACACCUCUGAGACUGUGGCCAGUACUAUCAGCGCCCAUCACAAUAAACCAAACCCACCCAAGACUGAUCAAGAACAGCACAGUGAAUAUAGAGACACAGAGACAUCCCCUUGGUCCAGUGCUUUUCCUAUUCUUGCAAAGCCUCCCAGCCCAGAUUACACGAUGGUUGAUGCGGUUGACUGGACAAAUGGUCUCCUCUUGAAACCUAAUACACCAACAGCCCCACAGAAGGCAGCAGCGAAGACUUUGUUUACUCCUGUCGGAUACCUGACUCCUGACCUUCUGGACAACAUUACACCUUAACUAAAAGUGGAGUAUGUUUGCUCUUUGUCAGAUGUCUGACUGCUUAGCCAACACCGAACAUGAGGUGUGAUCCACGAGGAGGGAAUCUUGAAGCAAAGCCAGUUCUCAAGCCUUCUCCAGUGGAAUGGACGUCAUGAAACAAAUCUAUUGGCAAGCUAAUAAAUGGCUGUAUAUGGCCUGGAGUUUUUCCUUUCUCAUUUGGAGGGUUAACAAGUUCAGAGGUUAUUUUGAGCAGAUAUGGAGUAUAAGUAUUAGCUGGUUGUUUGAUGCCAUAAAAAGAUAACAACUCAUUUAUAUUAGCUGGUUGUUUGAUGCCAUAAAAAGAUAACAACUGAAUUGUUAUGCUUUUACAUUUAGUCAUAAGACAGCUAUAUUUCUCUACCUGUUGAUAUACAUUUGUGUACUUUUAUUGUUCAUUUUCAGUGAACUAACCACCAGUAUGUGUCUGAAAAAAAGUGCCUACUUUUAAUUUAAACAUCAGUGUUAAAAAAUGUUGCUUAAUUCAUUCAAGAGGGACUUCCUUUGUUUAUGUUACCUGGUAAUCUUUUCUUCAUCAGUGUUAUACUUUUCUUCCAUAAAUGACUGGACAUGAUUUUGUGACUCAAUAGGGUAAAUAUGAUGAACUUUUGCUGACAAGCUGUCCUUGCCUGAAAAAACAACAACAACAAUAAACCAGGCUAAACUGGUUUAUCUGUCUCUCUUAUUGGUCUUAGAGUGGAUUGAGACCAGAUUUCUGACAGACUGUAAAACCUUCUAAAGUCCAGCAAACUUGCUAGUUAUUUUUUUGCAGGUUUGUACAUUUAGUGAUGUGCUUGGGCAUGCAUCAAUACUGUUUAUCAGUAUAAAUCAAACAAUGUGUUUUGUAACCAUGUAUCGCUAAAUAAAACAGCAGCAUUUGAACUCUGA